AUGCUUAACGUCGUAUUCAACGCCAUCUGUUUGCUGCUCAGUCCGGCCCAUGCCAUUGCGAGCAUUGGCCGAGCAGUCGUCUUCAGCAUAGUUGUUUCAGCCAGAUUUUGCUUGAGAAAAAUUCACUAUAGUCAGCGGCCGCCGGCUCGCUUUGACCGCCACCUUGUCAUGUCUAGGGUGAAUACUAGUCCAUCCCCGGGGGUGUGUGUGUGUGUUUGUAAAAACGCCAGCGCGUCGGGUUCCUCCGCUCCCUCGGCCGCCUACCCGUUCGACCUCGGCUGCAGCGUCCGCAAGAACAUGGUCCCCGUCCUCGACUACAUCGGCAAGAUCGGCGUCCGCCGCGGCCGGAGCACCUGGCGGCGCACGCGCGACUGGCCCUGCUCGUCCUCCGCGGGCUCCUCCCGCGCGCGCCCCGCCUCCUCGCCAACUCCUUCUCCCUCUCCCUCGCCCUCCGCCGCGCUCGCCUCGUCCUCCGCCGCGACCCGGCCUCUCGGCGCCUCGCUCCACGCGCGCGCGGUCAGGUCCGGCUUCGCCGCCGCCGACCUCUUCGUGCCCACCGCGCUCGUCGAGAUGUACGCCAAGCCGGGCCGCGCGGAGCUCGCGCACGCCGCGUUCGACGAGGCACCCCGCCGGGACGUGUUCCUCUGCAACGUAAUGCUCGCGUCCUACGUCGCGCGCGGCGAGGUGCCGGAGGCGAGGAGUGUGUUGGACGGAAUGCGGGACAGGGACCUGGUGUCCUGGAACACGAUGAUCCACGGGUACGCCGUGAGAGGGGACGUCGGCAUGGCGAGGGAGAUAUUCGACGCGACAAGCGACAGGGACGCCUGUUGGAAUAAUUAUGCAUCUAUGAGAUGCCAUUAG
rnacentral:rRNA from 1 species